CAGUCGCCGCGGUAAUACGUAGGUGGCAAGCGUUGUCCGGAUUUAUUGGGCGUAAAGCGAGCGCAGGCGGUUAGAUAAGUCUGAAGUUAAAGGCUGUGGCUUAACCAUAGUACGCUUUGGAAACUGUUUAACUUGAGUGCAAGAGGGGAGAGUGGAAUUCCAUGUGUAGCGGUGAAAUGCGUAGAUAUAUGGAGGAACACCGGUGGCGAAAGCGGCUCUCUGGCUUGUAACUGACGCUGAGGCUCGAAAGCGUGGGGAGCAAACAGGAUUAGAUACCCCAGUAGUCCCUGUCUCUUAUACC
rnacentral:rRNA from 1 species